GAUCUGAGGGUUGGGAAGAUCAAAGGGAAGGUCCUGACAGAUUACAGCCGGCCCAAACCCUCGCGCUACAGCGGCUACCACCGCUACCAGUUCCGCCUGUACCGGCAGCCGCAGCACCAGACCAUCUCCCUGAGCUCCGAGGAGCAGCAAUCGCUGGGCACCUGGGACUUGAAGGACUUCGUGGAGGAUUUUCAUCUGGGCCACCCUGUGGCCUCGACCCAGUUCCUCACCAAAAACUACAAGGAUUAACCCCGACCGUCCCUUCCUUGCCCUGCUCAUCCCCACACCACAGAGCCGCCUCUGCCUGGAGCAGAGGGGACCCCAGGAGCCAGUGAGGAUGAACCCACCCUGCUCCCAGCCCCAGCCCCUUCCCUCCCAAAGCCAAGUUCUCUUUCCCUCCGGGGAACAUGCCAGGAGGCGCCCCAGCUCGCCUGGCUA